rnacentral:lncRNA from 1 species
CUCUGAUUUAGUGCUUCUCUGCUGUUGCUCUUCUAUUUUUUCUACCAGCUUCCAUCUACUUGUUCAACCCCUCAGAGAUUCAUGUAAGAAAUGUCUUUGGUUUCCUAUCUUCCACCUAAUCCAGGACAUUCCUUAACUCCAACGGCACCUUACCUUUCUUGAGUUCUCCUCUUCUCUGUCCCUGUCCCUCUUAAUCCACUGAGUGAACAAAACAUUCUAAGGGAACAAAUGCUUUUGGACACGAUUGGACAACCUCUGAGAGCAGUUGACUGGGCUUUGUUGCCAUUUGUUGGGAGUUCUUAGAAUACAGUGUUUACGAGGUUGCCUGGAAGCAUAAAUGUCACCUCCAAAGGGACAGUGGACCUUAAAGGAGCAUUUCAAGAAUCAUGAAAAACUACAGCAGAAAUACUUCAGGCCUUUGGUUUCCAGGUUCUGUGGACUCAAAGUGAUUUGCAGACAUCCUCAACGGUGAGGCUCAUGGUGACCACUCAGUGCUCUUACCAUGCAUCCAUCCAGAUCCCUCUGUCCCACCGG